GCGAUUAAAUAGUAGAUGCACUGAGUAACCAAGACCUAAAGAUUUAUUAUUAUUUACAAUUAGAACUUCCACCACCACUAUCAAUCAAUGCAGUAAUUGAUUUUUUUUCUAAGUACAGGAAGAAAUCCUUGCAUAUAAGCUCACUAUCUAAUUUGCUGGCUUUAAGAGGAAGAUUAUGAUUAAGAUAGUGUCUUCCACUAUCUAAUUAUAUUAUCAACUCCUUUUCUUUAACUUUGCUAAAGCCAUGCUUUCCACCUCUUCAACCACCACCCUUUGCUCCCCACCAAUACACCUAACUCUCCAUACACUUCAUUUUUUUUAUUUCUCCACCACUACAUUACAUAUUCAGCACUACAUCUUGCAGAUUCCUCAUUAAGAAAUCCUCUCUCUCUAAUCUUCUAAAUUACCAUUUUCUUUCCUCCUACUCCUCACGGGUCCUUCAAAGAAAUUAUCAAGUUUGUUUCAAGUUCCAAAUCAAGAAGAAUCGAACUAUUGCCAACACCACCCCUCAUAUCAAGGUCCGGGCGACAGAAAGUGAAGCAGAAGAAGAAACGACUCCACGCCAACUUUAAGAACAAUUGAUGU